AUUGAACGCUGGCGGCAUGCCUUACACAUGCAAGUCGAACGGUAACGCGGGGGCAACCCUGGCGACGAGUGGCGAACGGGUGAGUAAUACAUCGGAACGUACCCAGUAGUGGGGAUAGCUCGGCGAAAGCCGGAUUAAUACCGCAUACGACCUAUGGGUGAAAGCGGGGAUCGCAAGACCUCGCGCUAUUGGAGCGGCCGAUGUCGGAUUAGCUAGUUGGUGAGGUAAAGGCUCACCAAGGCUACGAUCCGUAGCUGGUCUGAGAGGACGACCAGCCACACUGGGACUGAGACACGGCCCAGACUCCUACGGGAGGCAGCAGUGGGGAAUUUUGGACAAUGGGCGAAAGCCUGAUCCAGCCAUGCCGCGUGUGUGAAGAAGGCCUU
rnacentral:rRNA from 1 species